rfam:Methylobacterium platani strain SE2.11 contig_1, whole genome shotgun sequence.
GCGGACGUAGCUCAGUCGGUUAGAGUGCCGGCCUGUCACGCCGGAGGUCGCGGGUUCGAGCCCCGUCGUCCGCG